rnacentral:rRNA from 1 species
UACGGAGGGUGCAAGCGUUAUCCGGAUUCACUGGGUUUAAAGGGUGUGUAGGCGGGCUGUUAAGUCAGUGGUGAAAUCUCCGGGCUCAACCCGGAAACUGCCAUUGGUACUAUCAGUCUUGAAUAUUGUUGAGGUGGGCGGAAUAUGUCAUGUAGCGGUGAAAUGCAUAGAGAUGACAUAGAACACCGAUUGCGAAGGCAGCUCACUAAGCAUGUAUUGACGCUGAGGCACGAAAGCGUGGGGAUCAAACAGG